CAAACCAAAGCUGGCGACCGGCGCACGGGUGAGUAACACGUAUCCAACCUGCCUCAUACUCGGGGAUAGCCUUUCGAAAGAAAGGUUAAUAUCCGAUAGCAUAUAUUUCCCGCAUGGGUUUUAUAUUAAAGAAAUUCGGUAUGAGAUGGGGAUGCGUUCCAUUAGUUUGUUGGGGGGGUAACGGCCCACCAAGCCUUCGAUGGAUAGGGGUUCUGAGAGGAAGGUCCCCCACAUUGGAACUGAGACACGGUCCAA
rnacentral:rRNA from 1 species